ACAAUUGUGUUGAAAAAAUUUAGAAAAAGUAGUAUUUCAAAUUUACACAGCUCACUUUAAAUUAAAUGAAUGAAACGCAGUUGUGUUGCUUCUGCAGUACCUCACAUGCUCACAUGGAAAGCAGGUUCAGUGAUAUGCUUCUGCUCUCUUCAGACUGCGCCAUUUUCUGUGAAUCGAAUCUCACAAAAAUCGCUGUGCGAACGGGGACACAUGCAAAGUUUCUUAUUAUCUGGACACACAGAGUUUUGGAGUCCUGCCUUACAUGUGGCUGUGCAGAGAUUGUGGAUCUUCACAAACAUCCAGGUCAAAGCUUUUAAAACACCUCAGUUUUAUGCAAGACAGAAGACGUGAAGAUCUACGGAUUUGAGAAAGUCUUGCGACCUCUUUUGCACGAUCUCAAAACUUUGGAGCAGCAAGGUGUGUAUGUCCACCAGCUGGGAACAUUCUUUAAAGGAACAGUACAAUGUGUUGUAGCCGAUAAUCUGGCCACACAUUGUAUGGCUGGCUUCACUGAAAACUUUUCAGGUGAGUACUGUUGUUGAUUUUGUACAGCUUCUCGUACAGAUUCUCAAACUGAAGUGAAAGCAGGUGAAUUUACACUUCAGAUUGCAGAAGAACACCAAGGACAUGUUAAACAUCCUACAGAAAAAGGAGUAAAUGUCAUGGGUGUGAAAAAAGCAUGUGUUUUCAGUGACAGCCUUAGCUACUUUAGUGUUACAGGCUAUUCUCCUGAUUUGGCACACGAUCUUUUUGAAGGCAUAGUAUCAGUUGAGCUGGCAGAGUGCUUUGCUGAACUUAUUUCAAAGAAGAUCUUGUCUCUUAAUAGGAUCAAUGAACUCAUCCGUACUUUUCUGUACAAAUGGGGUGAUAAGACGAAUCGACCUCAAAUGGCGCCACGGACAUUUGCAAGUAAAAACUCAAUUGGUGGCAAUGCACAUGAAAAUUGGUGUCUGUUAAGAUUACUGCCAUUGAUUAUUGGACAUUUGGUGCCUGCAGAUGAACCUGUGUGGCUUAUGAUUUUAGACUUAAAGGAUAUUGUGGAACUGGUUGUGUCUCCAGUUCAUACAGAUGAGACCAUUGCAUACUUGGAAUGCAAGAUCUCAGAACACCGUCGGAAAUAUCAGGAGCUGUUCCCACAUAAACAACUGCUUCCAAAGCAUCACUUUUUGGAGCACUAUCCAGAAAUGAUUUGCAGUUUUGGCCCUCUAGUUUUUCUUUGGACAUUGUGAUUUGAAGCUAAGCAUAACUACUUUAAGCAAGUAGUUAGGCACACAAAUUGCUUCAAGAACAUAACACUAACAUUGGCAAGUAAACACCAAUUGAUGGUUGGAUGUUACAUGCAAUUACCCAGCUCUGAAGAGGCCACCUUCAGAGCAGGUCACACAUGUCUCUGCAAUCACUGUAGAACUGUAGAGAGGAUGUUGUACAUUGCCUUAAUGUUAGGUAUCCUGGUAUCACCACUGUCAACAUUGCCCAGAAUGUCUCUUGUGAUGGCAUCACCUACCGAAAUGGCAUGAUAAUUACCUAUGGGUCUCAGAUUUGUAUAAUCAUAGAUAACCUGGCUUUCAUUGCCAAAAAAAUGUGUUCCUGGUAUCGAGAGCACUUCAGGGCCUUCGAAUUGAUACCAACUCAUGAAGUUUGCUUAAUUUCCCACAAUGAGUUGAAAGACCCAUACCCUCUUGCUGAUUAUUUGGUUGGAGGUGUCCGGCUGAUUACCCUAAAAAGACACAUACUGACAGAUGAGGUGUAAUAACCAGCCAUUAAAGUCUUGUGGGAAAUUCCAUCCAUCCCUCCAUUUUCUGUACUGCUUAUCCAACACGGGGUCAUGGGGGAGCCUGGAGUCUAUCCCAUAGAACUCAGGGCACAAGGCGGGGGAUACCCUGGUCGGGUGCCAACCCAUUGCAAGGCACAAUCUCGCACACAUUCACACACUACAGACAAUUUAGAAAUGCCAGUUAGCCUACAAUGCAUGUCUUUGCAGUGGGGGAAGAAACUGGAGUACCCAAAGGAAACCCCCGCAGCACAGGACACACACAGGGCAGAGGCGGGAUUCACACCACCAACCUUGUGGGAAUUUGCAAUGUAUUAAUCUGUUGUAUGUAUUUCUGCUUGUAGGUCUUUGUGAAGAUCAUAGUACACGGUGUUGACCAAAACCCCCAUAUGAAGUUUUAAGAAUAGAAUUCACUCCUCAGGGUGUUAAGACAAAAUGUUAUUCUAAUAAUGAAAUAUUUCUUUCACUUUAUAGUAAACAUCUGUUUAUUGGCAUACUUUAAGAAAUAUCUGUAGUUAGGUUUGGAUUGCUGGCAUUGUACUCAUAUAUUCAUCUUCUCUCCCUCUCUUUCAAAAAACCAGUUUGACAUGGUGGGUAUCCCAGCCAAACUUCUAGUAAUCUUGGGAGAAAAUAAUUGUGAAAGGUUAAAUCUUCCAACUGGUACACCAGACUCGUUGAAUGACCUUAAAAGAGAAAUCCAAACACAGCUUAGAGUCUUUUAAGAUUUUCGACUUCAAUUCAAAGAUCCUGAUUUUAAUGAUUUUGUCAACUUCAGUUCAACUUCAGACAUACAAGACAGAGCUACACUCAGUCAUUCAGUUGCAUUCAUCUACAAGUAUCCCUUCUGCUUCACCUGUGCCAGAAAUAAAUGAGGCAUCUUCAGUUUCAUCCUGUGACACAGACAUAAUCUCAUCCCCACAGUUGUCUGUACUCUCCACUCAGGGAUGGCCUGAAAGUUUCCCAAUACCACAGUUUAGAUUUGAUGCUGAGAUGCAACUACAAAAAGCUCAACAUGCUUAUCAAACUGAUGGCAUUGUCCUGAGCCCCAAUGCCAAGCUUAAUUCUGACAUUUUGGAUGCUUCAGCUUCAGAAAUAAUAAAGUACAAGGCAUACCCUUCAAAUGCAGAUCUUGAUGACGUAGCUGCUGCUUUGGUCCAGAAGCACCCGUGCCUCAAGGAAACGUCUCUGUGAGCGGCUACUAUGGCUGGAAAAUUAGUUUAAAAUACAAGAUGGCAAACUACAGAACAAAAUUGAGGAACAUCAACUUAGCUAAACAAGCUAAACAUCAACUCCCAUAAGCAGAAAGGAUCUAUGGGAAGUCCUAACCAAGUGAAGAAACGUAGAAAAGCCAAGGUAAAUUACUAUCCAGAUUACCCAUUGUGUGAAACAAAAGGUAAUUCAGGUGUAUGCUCAUCCGUAACAAUUUUGUAUUUCAUCUGUGUGUAAGUGCUGGCAAAGAAAUGCUGUAUUGGUAUAUGAUAAUAUUGUAAGGAUUGUCAGAAAUUUAUCAGCAACCACCCUGAUUUGUCAUUUUAAAAUGUUAUUAGGUAUCUGCGGAAUUCAGCAUAAUUACAACAAUCCCUCUGGUGUCCAAAUUUAUGGGUCAGCUUGAUAAUUUCUCAGCCCAGCUCCUCAGAAUUUUCAAAAAGAAAGGAGGAACAGGGGCUCAGAAAAUCACAAGCGUCCUGUCAGUUAUGGAUCAGAAUGCCACCAUCGAAAAAAAACAUAAAUGCGCCCUGAGAGCACUUGCUGUUUACCUGAAUGAAGACCCCUCAAACCUCAUGAAGGAGUACAUGGAUAUUUCACAUGAUGAAGCCCUAACCUCUAUGCAAAAGAUGACUCUAGGAAAAAAAUCUUGAAUGAUCGUGAUCAGAGAUCUUUAAAACGCUUGGUGAUGUCACAUCGUAAAAAAAAUCUACAGGAGAACUCACGGCUAUGUUUAAUAGUGAAAGUAAGAGCAUUUCCACAUGCACAAUGUGAUGAGAACUUACAGGAUUUGGACUAAACAGCUGUGUGGCUACAAGAAAGCCAUUUGUUAGUGAGGCUAAUCGGAAAAAAUUACUUCAAUUUGCUAGGGAGCAUAAAGACUGGACUGUGGCGCAAUGGAAAAAGGUCAAGUGGUCUGAUAAAAUCAGAUUUACCCUAUUCCAAAGCAAUGGGCGUGUCAGAGUAAGAAGGGAAAUGCAUGAAGUGAUUCACCCAUCAUGCAUAGUACCUACUGUACAAACCUCUGGAGGCAGUGUAAUGAUCUGGGGUUGCAUCAACUGGUCAGGUCUAGGCUCAGCCUCAUUGUGUGGCAAUAAAAUGAAGUCAGCUGAGCACCUGAAUAUACUGAAUGACCACGUUAUCCCUUAUCCACUGGACUUUUUCUUCUCUGACAGCACAGGCAUAUUCCAGGAUGAAAAUGCUAAGAUUCAUCAGGCUUAACUUGUGAAAGAGUCGUUCAGGGAGCAUGAGGAAUCAUUUUCACACAUGACUUGGCCACCACAGAGUCUUGACCUUAACCCCAUUGAAAGUCUUUGGGAUGUGCUGGAGAAAACUUUACGGAGUGGUUAGACUCUCCUGUCCUCAAUGCAAGAUCUCAGCCAAAAAUCAAUGCAACUCUGGAUGGAAAUAAAUGUUGUGAAGUUGCAUAAUGUUGUUGAAACAAUGCCAGAACGAAUGUGUGCCGUAAUCAAAGAUAAAUGCAGUGCAACAAAAUAUUAGAUUGUGCGACUUUUUUUCGGCCAGGUAGUGUAUUUCAAAAGAUUUUUAUGGAGCUAGAGGCAAACAAGCUCUCAAAUAAGGUCCAGGUCCUGAAAAAUAAACUACUUUUGAAAACUCUGUAACCUGAUGUCAGGACCAAAAGGCAGGGUUUUUGCUUUUUCAAUAAAGCAAUGUUGACUGUUACAUUUGUUUGAGUAUUGACCAUGUUAUGUUCCUUUCAAUAUCGGUCUUGUUUUGAACAACUGCUGCUUUUUUUCCAAUUUAAAGGAAGGCACAGAUUGCAAAAGAAGGGGACUGCUGAUUUUUUCCCCCCCAAAAGA